CCCUUAGAUGUUCUGGGCCGCACGCGCGCUACACUGAUGCAUUCAACGAGCCUAUCCUUGACCGACAGGUCCGGGUAAUCUUUGAAUCUGCAUCGUGACGGGGAUAGAUUAUUGCAAUUAUUAAUCUUCAACGAGGAAUGCCUAGUAGGCGCAAGUCAUCAGCUUGCGUCGAUUACGUCCCUGCCCUUUGCACACACCGCCCGUCGCUCCUACCGAUUGGGUGGGCUGGUGAAAUGUUCGGAUCGGCCGUUUGUCGCGGUUUCCGCGUCAUGUGGCUGAGAAGUUCAUUAAACCCUCCCACCUAGAGGAAGGAGAAGUCGUAACA
rnacentral:rRNA from 1 species